AUUGAACGCUGGCGGCAUGCCUUACACAUGCAAGUCGAACGGCAGCAUGAUCUAGCUUGCUAGAUUGAUGGCGAGUGGCGAACGGGUGAGUAAUACAUCGGAACGUGCCCUGUUGGGGGGGAUAACUAGUCGAAAGAUUAGCUAAUACCGCAUACGACCUGAGGGUGAAAGUGGGGGACCGCAAGGCCUCAUGCUAUAGGAGCGGCCGAUGUCUGAUUAGCUAGUUGGUGGGGUAAAGGCCCACCAAGGCGACGAUCAGUAGCUGGUCUGAGAGGACGAUCGGCCGCACUGGGACUGAGACACGGCCCAGAGUCCUGCGGGAGGCAGCAGUGGGGAAUUUUGGACAAUGGGGGCAACCCUGAUCCAGCAAUGCCGCGUGUGUGAAGAAGGCCUUCGGGUUGUAAAGCACUUUUGUCCGGAAAGAAAUCGCACUUACUAAUAUUAGGUGUGGAUGACGGUACCGGAAGAAUAAGGACCGGCUAACUACGUG
rnacentral:rRNA from 1 species